CUAGAAUGAUGAUUUCAACCCAGUUCUGCUUCUGAUCUCGUUGAAGAGAACUAUACCAUAUCGACUGAUGC